rnacentral:rRNA from 1 species
UACGGGGGGGGCAAGCGUUGUUCGGAAUUACUGGGCGUAAAGGGCUCGUAGGCGGCCAACUAAGUCGGACGUGAAAUCCCCAGGCUCAACCUGGGAACUGCGUCCGAUACUGGAUGGCUUGAAUCCGGGAGAGGGAUGCGGAAUUCCAGGUGUAGCGGUGAAAUGCGUAGAUAUCUGGAGGAACACCGGUGGCGAAGGCGGCAUCCUGGACCAACACUGACGCUGAGGAGCGAAAGCCAGGGGAGCAAACGGG